AAAUUUCCGUGUCCAACGUUUGACCGUCCGUCUUAUUUUAAAAAAUUAUAAAAAAUAAUUAAAAAGAUAAGUCACGCAUAAAGUAUUAAUCAUGUUUUAUCAUCUAACAAUAAUAAAAAUACUAAUUAUAGAAAAAUCAUAUAAGACGGACAGUCAAACAUUGAACGUGGAAACCUAGGGUUUGUCUUUUU
rfam:Oryza sativa (indica cultivar-group) chromosome 6, whole genome shotgun sequence.